AUGCCUACCUCGACUCCUUGCCACCUGACGGCAAUGCUGCUCCUCCGUGCAGACGCUGAGCUUCUCCGGUCGCUAAUCCAACUCCUCUUUGCACCCCGGAUGCUCCGCCACUGCCCCAACAUGUGCUCCUGCACCACCUAUUCUAUCUACAAUGGAUCUACGGCUACUGGUCAUCAGCCUGGGCAGGUUGCUUACUCUCUCACGGACGCAUCGCCCGGCCGCGAAUGCAUGCUGAUUGUCUGCGAUUUUCCUGUCGAGUUGUUGCCACUUCCACCCGAUGUUCAGAGCUGCAAAAUUGUUCUGUUUAGGCAAAGAUGA
rnacentral:rRNA from 1 species